CCCAGACUCCUACGGGAGGCAGCAGUGGGGAAUAUUGCACAAUGGGGGAAACCCUGAUGCAGCAACGCCGCGUGAGUGAAGAAGUAUUUCGGUAUGUAAAGCUCUAUCAGCAGGGAAGAAGAAGGACGGUACCUGACUAAGAAGCCCCGGCUAACUACGUGCCAGCAGCCGCGGUAAUACGUAGGGGGCGAGCGUUAUCCGGAUUUACUGGGUGUAAAGGGAGCGUAGACGGUUAAUCAAGUCUGAAGUGAAAGCCCGCGGCUCAACUGCGGAACGGCUUUGGAAACUGAGUAACUGGAGUGCUGGAGGGGCAGGCGGAAUUCCUGGUGUAGCGGUGAAAUGCGUAGAUAUCAGGAGGAACACCGGUGGCGAAGGCGGCCUGCUGGACAGUAACUGACGUUGAGGCUCGAAAGCGUGGGGAGCAAACAGGAUUAGAUACCCGCGUAUA
rnacentral:rRNA from 1 species